rnacentral:rRNA from 1 species
UACGUAGGGGGGCGAGCGUUGUCCGGAUUUAUUGGGCGUAAAGAGCGUGUAGGCGGUUCGGUAAGUCUGUCGUGAAAUCCUGAGGCUCAACCUCGGGCGUGCGAUGGAUACUGCCGGGCUAGAGGAUGGUAGAGGCGAGUGGAAUUCCCGGUGUAGAGGUGAAAUUCGUAGAUAUCGGGAGGAACACCAGUGGCGAAGGCGGCGACCUGGGCCAAUAUUGACGCUGAGGUGCGAAAGCGUGGGGAGCAAACAGGG